GAAGAGAGAGUUCAAAAGUACGUGAAACUGUUCAGAGGUAAACGGGUGGGCCCUCGAAAUCCUGUGGCGGGAGCAUUCAGUCGGGAAGUUGAGACGCACUGCUGGGAUAUGACGAAGAAGGUUCCCGAGACGGGGCCGUCCCGGCGUCGCGAUUCGAUUCCGACCGACGCAUUUGUUUCCCGCCCGAAGGACGCCGCAACCGGUUGGGUCGCGGCCUUAAGGGCGAGACAACGCAGUUGGCCAGUGGCGCGCCUCGUGUGCGUCGCGGGUUGUUAGCAGUCUCGUCGCACGGCUCGCGUCCCGACCGUGGCAAGAAAGAGGCCUUUUUUGGGCUUUGACGUCUCCUCCCUUGGUGGCGGGUGAAGAAGCGUGGCAGGAGCAUGACGGCCUACUGGGCGCACGGACCGACUCCGUGGCCACGGUGACUCGUCGGCUUCGUUCGCAGCGCAAGCCCCGCAGGGAGUGCACGACGGUUGGCGGCGAGUAGAUCGGUCACCCACCUGACCCGUCUUGAAACACGGACCAAGGAGUUCAACAUGUGUGCGAGUCAAUGGGUCUCGAUUAAGCCCAGAGGCGCAAUGAAAGCAAAGGUCGGAUGACUCCGGCCGUGUUGGGACCCUGCCCCUUCGCGGGCGGGGCGCACCAACGACACGUCCUGUUCCGCUUGCGGAUUGGGCGUAGUCUGAGCAUACACGUUGUGACCCGAAAGAAGGUGAACUAUGCCCGGGCAGGACGAAGCCAGAGGAAACUCUGGUGGAGGU
rnacentral:rRNA from 1 species